GGCACGCCUAAUACAUGCAAGUCGAACGGGGUAGCAAUACCUAGUGGCAGACGGGUGAGUAACAUGUGGGUACCUUCCCUUUGGUGAGGAAUAACACGAGGAAACUUGUGCUAAUACCUCAUAAGUCUUUACGGAGAAAGCUUUAUGCGCCAAUGGAUGGGCUCGCACUUGAUUAGUUAGUUGGUAAGGUAAUGGCUUACCAAGACUUUGAUCAAUAGCUGAUUUGAGAGGAUGAUCAGCCACAUUGGGACUGAGACACGGCCCAAACUCCUACGGGAGGCAGCAGUAGGGAAUCUUGCACAAUGGAGGAAACUCUGAUGCAGCGAUGCCGCGUGAGUGAAGAAGGCCUUUGGGUUGUAAAGCUCUUUCGUCGGGGAAGAAAAUGACUGUACCCGAAUAAGAAGGUCCGGCUAACUUCGUGCCAGCAGCCGCGGUAAUACGAAGGGACCUAGCGUAGUUCGGAAUUACUGGGCUUAAAGAGUCCGUACGUGGUUAAAAUAGUUGGUGGUGAAAUCCCAGAGCUUAACUCUGGAACUGCCAUCAAAACUUUUUAGCUAGAGUAUGAUAG
rnacentral:rRNA from 1 species